rnacentral:ncRNA from 2 species
UCCCAUCAUCAAGAGAAGGGCUGGCGCCCUCGCCAACCUGCCGAACCGGGCAAGGUGGUUUCCGCAACAGGGAUGCGGCCGGAUGGAACCUCAUAGAGGUAUUCCGGCAAUGAAGCGGUUCAAU